GACAGAGGCCUCGAGCGUUAGGCGGAAUCACUGGGCUUAAAGCGUGUGUAGGCGGGCCCGUAAGUGUCUUGUGAAAUCCCACGGCUCAACCGUGGAACUGCUGGGCAUACUGCGGGUCUUGGGCCAACUAGGGGCAGCCGGAACAAGCGGUGGAGCGGUGAAAUGCGUAGAUAUCGCUUGGAACGCCGAAGGUGAAAACAGACAGCUGGGAGUGUGCUGACGCUGAGACACGAAAGCCAGGGGAGCGAACGGG
rnacentral:rRNA from 1 species